rnacentral:rRNA from 1 species
CGGAGGGUGCGAGCGUUGUCCGGAAUCACUGGGCGUAAAGGGCGCGUAGGUGGCGCGACAAGUCAACGGUGAAAGCCUGGGGCUCAACCCCGGGUCGGCCGUCGAUACUGUUGGGCUCGAGCACUGUAGAGGCAGGUGGAAUUCCGGGUGUAGCGGUGGAAUGCGUAGAGAUCCGGAAGAACACCGGUGGCGAAGGCGGCCUGCUGGGCAGUAGCUGACACUGAGGCGCGACAGCGUGGGGAGCAAACAGGAUUAGAUACCCUGGUAGUCCACGCCGUAAACGAUGGGCACUAGGUGCUUGGGGGAGCGACCCCCUGAGUGCCGGCGCUAACGCAUUAAGUGCCCCGCCUGGGGAGUACGGCCGCAAGGCUG